ACAUGCAGAGAACUUUCCAGAGAUGGAUUGGUGGCCUUCGGGAACGUCUGACACAGGUGCUGCAUGGCUGUCGUCAGCUCGUGCGUGAGAUGUUGGGUUAAGUCCGUAACGAGCGCAACCCUUGUCCUUAGUUACCAGCACGUUAUGGUGGCGACUCUAAGGAGACUGCCGGUGCAAACCGGAGGAAGUGGGGAUGACGUCAAGUCAUCAUGGCCCUUACGGCCUGGGCUACACACGUGCUACAAUGGUCGGUACAAAGGGUUGCCAAGCCGCGAGGUGGAGCUAAUCCCAUAAAACCGAUCGUAGUCCGGAUCGCAGUCUGCAACUCGACUGCGUGAGGUCGGAAUCGCUAGUAAUCGUGAAUCAGAAUGUCACGGUGAAUACGUUCCCGGGCCUU
rnacentral:rRNA from 1 species